GCCGGGGUGGCGGAAUUGGUAGACGCAGUGGCUUUAGGAGCCACCGUCCUUAGGACGUGCAGGUUCGAGUCCUGUCCCCGGUACCA
rnacentral:tRNA from 1 species